UACGAAGGGUGCAAGCGUUACUCGGAAUUACUGGGCGUAAAGCGUGCGUAGGUGGUUUGUUAAGUCUGAUGUGAAAUCCCCGGGCUCAACCUGGGAAUGGCAUUGGAUACUGGCAGGCUAGAGUGCGGUAGAGGGUGGUGGAAUUCCACGUGUAGCAGUGAAAUGCGUAGAUAUGUGGAGGAACACCGAUGGCGAAGGCAGCCCCCUGGGUUAACACUGACGCUCAUGCACGAAAGCGUGGGGAGCAAACAGG
rnacentral:rRNA from 1 species